UUAAUUGAAGAGUUUGAUCAUGGCUCAGAUUGAACGCUGGCGGCAGGCCUAACACAUGCAAGUCGAGCGGUAACAGAAAGAAAGCUUGCUUUCUUUGCUGACGAGCGGCGGACGGGUGAGUAAUGCCUGGGAAUAUACCCUGAUGUGGGGGAUAACUAUUGGAAACGAUAGCUAAUACCGCAUAAUCUCUUCGGAGCAAAGAGGGGGACCUUCGGGCCUCUCGCGUCAGGAUUAGCCCAGGUGGGAUUAGCUAGUUGGUGGGGUAAUGGCUCACCAAGGCGACGAUCCCUAGCUGGUCUGAGAGGAUGAUCAGCCACACUGGAACUGAGACACGGUCCAGACUCCUACGGGAGGCAGCAGUGGGGAAUAUUGCACAAUGGGGGAAACCCUGAUGCAGCCAUGCCGCGUGUAUGAAGAAGGCCUUCGGGUUGUAAAGUACUUUCAGUUGUGAGGAAGGCAGUUAAGUUAAUAGCUUGGCUGUUUGACGUUAGCAACAGAAGAAGCACCGGCUAACUCCGUGCCAGCAGCCGCGGUAAUACGGAGGGUGCGAGCGUUAAUCGGAAUUACUGGGCGUAAAGCGCAUGCAGGCGG
rnacentral:rRNA from 1 species